rnacentral:sRNA from 1 species
AUUUUCACCGUGACCGAGCCACCAAUCUCAAAGCCUGCCUGUUUAAGCCAUUGCCCUUUAAGAUGAAUUGCGGGCGGUGCUGUGGCUUUGUCGUUUUGCGGGACGUAUCCCACGGUG